GCCGGGGGUGGUGGCACAUGCCUGUAGUCCCAGCUACUCGGGAGGCUGAGGUGGGAGGAUCGCUUGAGCCCAGGAUUUCUGGGCUAUAGUAUGCUAUGCUAAUUGGGUGUCUGCACUAAAUUUGGCAUCAAUAUGGUGACUUCCCGGGAGCGGAGGACCACCAGUUUGCCUAAGGAGGGGUGAACCAGCCCGGGUUGGAAACAGCAGGUCAAAACUCCUGUGCUGAUCAGUAGUGGGAUCGCACCUGUGAUUAGCCACUGCACUCUAGCCUGGCAACAUAGCAAGACCCUGUGUCU
rnacentral:SRP_RNA from 1 species